CCGCUCGCCCCGCCGUGCCGCGCCGCGCCGCGCCGCGCCGACACACGCACGCAUACAGCCCGGCUCGGCCCGGCCCAGCCCGCCCCGGCACCGCCCGGCCGCGCGGGUCUAUGGUGACAGCGCGGCGCGGGGGGACGCGGGGCUGAAGAGCGGGAGCGGGAGGAGGCCGAGGCGGCGCCAUGGAGAACGCGCACACGAAGACGGUGGAGGAGGUGCUGGUUUACUUCGGCGUCAACGAGAGCACCGGCCACAGCCUGGAGCAGGUCAAGAAGCUGAAGGAGAAGUGGGGCUCCAACGAACUGCCAGCCGAGGAAGGGAAAACGUUACUCGAGCUCGUGAUCGAACAGUUCGAAGACUUGCUAGUUAGGAUUUUGUUGUUGGCGGCUUGUAUAUCCUUCGUUUUGGCCUGGUUUGAAGAAGGUGAAGAAACAAUCACAGCAUUUGUAGAGCCUUUUGUAAUCUUACUUAUAUUAGUAGCCAAUGCAAUUGUCGGCGUGUGGCAGGAAAGAAAUGCAGAAAAUGCUAUUGAAGCUCUUAAAGAAUAUGAACCUGAAAUGGGCAAAGUGUAUCGACAGGACAGAAAAAGUGUACAGAGGAUUAAAGCAAGAGACAUUGUCCCUGGUGACAUUGUGGAAGUUGCUGUUGGCGACAAAGUUCCUGCUGAUAUAAGGAUUACUUCUAUCAAAUCUACAACUCUAAGAGUAGACCAGUCAAUUCUCACAGGUGAAUCUGUGUCCGUUAUUAAGCACACGGACCCUGUUCCUGAUCCUCGUGCCGUGAACCAGGACAAGAAGAACAUGCUUUUUUCUGGUACCAACAUAGCUGCUGGGAAAGCUAUGGGAGUGGUUGUCGCCACUGGAGUAAAUACUGAAAUUGGCAAAAUCCGUGAUGAGAUGGUGGCUACGGAGCAAGAGAGAACGCCGCUGCAACAGAAACUAGAUGAGUUCGGAGAGCAGCUCUCCAAGGUCAUCUCGCUCAUCUGUAUUGCUGUUUGGAUAAUCAACAUCGGGCACUUCAACGAUCCAGUCCACGGUGGUUCCUGGAUUCGAGGAGCCAUCUACUACUUCAAAAUUGCCGUGGCUCUGGCUGUUGCUGCUAUUCCCGAAGGCCUGCCUGCCGUCAUUACCACCUGUUUGGCUCUGGGAACCCGCAGGAUGGCCAAGAAGAACGCUAUUGUUAGAAGUCUGCCGUCGGUGGAAACCCUGGGGUGCACCUCUGUUAUCUGCUCUGACAAGACGGGUACUCUGACAACCAACCAGAUGUCAGUUUGCAGGAUGUUUGUCCUGGAUAGAGUAGAAGGAGACAGCUGUACACUGAAUGAAUUCACUAUUACUGGUUCAACGUAUGCUCCCAUGGGAGAAGUGCACAGAGACGACAAACUUGUGAAAUGUAGUCAGUUUGAUGGCCUUGUAGAACUAGCAACCAUCUGUGCACUUUGUAAUGAUUCUUCUUUGGAUUACAAUGAAGCUAAAGGGGUAUAUGAAAAGGUUGGAGAAGCUACGGAGACUGCACUGACCUGCCUGGUGGAGAAGAUGAAUGUAUUUGAUACGGAUUUGAAAGGACUUUCCAGAAUUGAACGUGCAAAUGCUUGCAACUCGGUCAUAAAGCAGCUUAUGAAGAAAGACUUCACUUUGGAGUUCUCGAGAGACAGAAAGUCCAUGUCUGUGUACUGUACCCCAAACAAACCAAGCCGGACAUCGAUGAACAAGAUGUUUGUUAAGGGUGCUCCUGAAGGUGUAAUCGAUAGGUGUACACACAUCCGUGUUGGAAGCACAAAGAUGCCCCUAACGUCGGGAAUUAAGCAGAAGAUAAUGUCUGUCAUUCGAGAGUGGGGUACGGGCAGAGACACCCUGCGUUGCUUGGCUCUGGCAACGCAUGACAAUCCACCAAGGAAGGAAGAAAUGAAUCUUGAGGAGUCUGCAAACUUUAUUAGUUAUGAGACCAACCUGACCUUUGUUGGCUGUGUGGGGAUGCUGGAUCCCCCCAGAAUUGAAGUCGCUUCAUCUAUAAAGUUGUGUAAGCAAGCUGGUAUUCGAGUUAUUAUGAUUACUGGGGACAACAAGGGCACAGCAGUAGCCAUCUGUCGUCGCAUUGGUAUAUUUGCGGAGGAUGAAGAUGUUUCUUCAAAAGCCUUUACUGGACGUGAGUUUGAUGAACUUUCCCCAGCUGCCCAGCGAGAUGCUUGCCUACAUGCUCGUUGCUUUGCCCGCGUAGAGCCUUCCCAUAAGUCUAAGAUUGUUGAGUUCCUUCAGUCUUUCGAUGAGAUUACGGCUAUGACUGGGGAUGGCGUCAAUGAUGCUCCUGCCCUGAAGAAGGCAGAAAUUGGGAUUGCUAUGGGGUCAGGUACUGCAGUGGCUAAAACGGCUUCUGAGAUGGUGUUAGCUGAUGACAACUUCUCAACCAUAGUAGCCGCGGUGGAGGAAGGGCGGGCAAUCUACAACAACAUGAAACAGUUCAUCCGUUACCUGAUCUCCUCCAAUGUUGGCGAAGUUGUUUGUAUCUUCUUGACUGCUGCUCUGGGUUUUCCCGAAGCUUUAAUUCCUGUCCAACUGUUGUGGGUAAACCUUGUAACUGAUGGUCUCCCUGCCACAGCUCUGGGCUUUAACCCUCCUGAUCUAGACAUUAUGGAUAAGCCACCCCGCAACCCUAAAGAGCCGCUGAUCAGUGGGUGGCUCUUCUUCCGUUACCUGGCUAUUGGAUGUUACGUUGGAGCUGCUACAGUGGGUGCUGCUGCCUGGUGGUUCAUCGCUGCUGAUGGUGGCCCAAGAGUUACCUUCUACCAGCUGAGCCACUUCCUACAGUGUAAAGAGGACAACCCAGACUUCUCAGGUGUAGACUGCGUGGUCUUUGAGUCUCCAUACCCCAUGACAAUGGCUCUUUCUGUUCUGGUCACCAUAGAGAUGUGCAAUGCUCUCAACAGUCUAUCAGAAAACCAGUCCUUGAUGAGGAUGCCUCCAUGGGAGAAUGUCUGGCUGAUGGGUGCCAUUUGCUUGUCCAUGUCACUUCACUUCCUUAUCCUUUAUGUGGAACCACUGCCAAUUAUCUUCCAGAUCACGCCUCUGAAUGUGACGCAGUGGCUGAUGGUGUUGAAAUUCUCACUCCCCGUCAUUCUGCUGGAUGAGACACUUAAGUUUGCGGCACGUAACUACCUGGAAUCUGGUAAAGAUAUUGUGCAGCCUGCCACCAAGCCGUGCUCUUUAUCAGCAUGCACCGAAGGGAUUUCCUGGCCGUUUGUGCUCAUUACCAUGCCCUUGGUUAUCUGGCUUUACAGUACAGACACUAACUUUAGUGACAUGUUCUGGUCUUGACUGACAUAGUGACCGUUUUACAUAAAGAUGUUUAACUUAAUCAAUUUUUUUAUUGUUUAGAGCAACUGUCUAUUUCUGCUGAAUAUUCACAUGAACAUACUUGCCGGUGAUGGAGGUUUCAUACUCUAGAUUUUGUUUUUUGCUUUUUCUGACUCCAGUGGGGGCAAUAUAUUCCUCUUUUAUACACAAUUAAAGUGUCCAUUGACAUGUACAGAGAACUAACACUAUUUUAUGCAAAUAUUUUUUUGUAGAUGAAAAGCAUGUACAGUGUUCUGUUGAAUAGUUGAUUCAUCCUUGUAAAAAAAAAAAAAAAAUUCUUUUGAGCCAGCGGACACUAUCAAAUGAAAUUGGCAGCAGAUUUUAGGGAAUGAAUGUGUGUUGUCUAAAACUAAAAAAGCAUGUAACUGUCUGUCUUCUGCAUGGUCAUCUGAACCUAAUUUGUCAUAUGGUCAGUCUCUUUUUUUUUUUAAUUCAUAAGACGGUUUUUCUGCACUGGGCAGAGAGUACUGCUACCUCAGUAUUUUUGGUUUGCCCCCCUCCUGCACCCACCUUUUAGAUUCCCGACAGUCUUGUUUACGCCAGUCUCUGUAAGAGGUAAGCCUAUUUUUGCUUGUGCAGAAAACAUCAUUCCAGGUGCAGCCUGCUGGGUUCUUUCAUCCUCUCAACACACGUAGCUUUUUUUAAGGUUAUUUAUUUAAAUGUCUAAUGUAUUUUUAUUCUAACCCACCUUGUUUAACCAGCGUUGCCCACUUGUGGAGGGAAAGCGGGGGGAGGACAGGAAAGAACUACUUCAGUCUAGCUUAAAGACAAAAACUUUGAAAUGGAUGAAGAGAGAGAACUCUGUAGAAGAUGGUUUGAGCUCCAUUUUAAUACCUUACUUAUGUGUGUCAGACUUUGGUGCGGUCUUUUAAAAUCAAAGCUUUUUGUAAUGGGGCCUGGAAAAAUAACUUGCACUGCAUAGUUUGAAAUUGGAUUUCUUACACUUUUAUGAGGGCACUAAAAAUCAGCUAAAUAUUUUGAGAGUUCCUCUGCUGGCCUGCUAUAGCCUGACUUAAACAAGUAACAAGCUCGUGUGUGGUUUUUGUAAAAUCUGUAAAUAGCACAUGACCAAAUUGAACAUAUUGUAUAGAACUAUUUUUAUUUUCAUGUGGCACUAACCACAUUCAUUAUUGCGAUAAGUGUUAGAGCAUGUUUUUCAAAAUCAGUCCUGUAUCAACAAUGUGUAAGUCAUUAACAGUCCUAACUGUGGUGUUUUUCUCCAAUGCCUUCCAACAUCCAUCGACUAAACAAUGCUGGAGUAAUCGCUUCCUAAACAAUUUUGCAGACAUGUAAGGUUGUUUUGUUGCGUGCAUGUGUUUUUAGCAACACAUCUACCAAAACUGCUGCAUGUGUCAUGUAAAAAAAGAAACCCCCCCCCUUUGCUUCCCCUCAACCAAAACUCAUUGUAUACUUUGUGGAAGAAGUGUGUGGUACCAUUAGGGCUUCAGUUAUACAAAUGUACAAAUGUGCAAUAUAGCUCAGCGAAUCAAACUCUCCAGAGAAGUUUGGGUUCUUUGCUGCAUGGAAGAGAACUUUUUAUUUGUUCUUAAACCAAAAGUUGAGGAGCUGUCAGCCAAGUUUCCAUAUUUCUCUGUGUAAGAUGUCAUAGUUGAUAAAAUGUACAAUAUCAAACUAAUGCAUGCCUUCAGUUGUAAGUAGCCAAAUCUUUCUGUAUUGUAUCAUCUAAGCGUACUACUUUAUAAACAGCUCUGUACAAUAUGCUAUACUAUUUAUAAAUUCAUUGAAAAAAGACUACAGAUGUUGAAUGUGUAAACUGUAAACCCCCGGGUCAUAACUUCCAAUCUUUUUUAAUUUUUUUUUGUGUGUGCAAACCAACUUAUUUUGCACUGUAAUGUAACUUAUUUAAUUCAAUCUAAAGCAGUAGACAGAUGUUGGUGCAAUACAAACAACUAUUGUGAUGCAUUUAUCUAAAGCAGCAAACAACUCGGCCAGUUAUCACAACUGCAUGGGUGACCGACCUCCAGAAGCUGUAAAUAAGAUCAAGUGUCUAUUGAAAUGCUGACAGUAAUAAGCAUCACACCUAAUUCAUUGUUUUGGGUAAAUAAAUUGAUUCUACAAUACA